UGAGAAGUGUUACUUGAGGGUUCAAAGUAUUCAGUCUCUUUUUACUAUAAUUUUACCAAUGUAAACUUGAACAAUAAAGUCUUUGGAUCAGUGCUGUAAAUAAAAGUAUUUACAGAAUACACACUAACUGUUCAUUUUGCUGCUGUUUGGCCCUUUAAAAAUUGGCAACCAAAUUCAGGAAAUGAAAUGUAGUUUAUUAGAAAAUACCUUUCUCACAGAAGAUCAAGUGUCAGUGCCUCUCAGGUUUUGUGGGAAUGGAUCAAAUACAUCAGACAAAAAUAGGCUAAAGUUCCUCACUUUCUGUUUGAAAUUGCUGUACUCAUUUCUCAGAAAAUCCAUUUUAGUUGUAUAAUAUAUUACUUAAAAUUAUGUUGGUAAACUAAGGAAAAAGCAGUUUCACCAUGUUUGUCCUCUAAUAGUGAUCUACUGGAUACCUCUUGGGCCCCGCUUGCUCCAGCCUUUGCAGUGACAGCCAGAUUCAUGCAGGUGAAACCUGACAGCCCCUCACUUGACUUUCUGACCUGGGAGCUUCUCUACAACCUUUGGAAACAGGAGCACAACCUGAAAGUGUGAGGAAAUUCACAACCUAUGAGGCAACCCGUAAAUGACGAAAGGCAGAACUGGUGAAUGAGUGCUCCUCUCACAUCUCGCAGGCAAUUCUGAAGGAGCUUGCUGACUCCUAAGAAGAUACUGGGAUUGAGCCGACUUUGCCCAUAGUGGGGGAUGAGCUCCAGGAUGCACUCUUGUAUUGGCUUUCCCUCCCUUUCCAUUUUCUUCUCCUAAUUCCCCACUCCUGUUCCUAGGAUGAAUUCCCAAAUAAAGAACUUACGCAUAAUCUGGAGGACACAGGCUCUACUUUCCACAGAGAACCCAACUUAAGAGAUAAAGGUUAAACGUUUCUACCGUCUGUGGAACAUGGAAUCAAACCAGAAUAUGUUGGCAUAACAGGCCAGUCAAACCGGUUCUUCUGUGGAUCCAGAACCCGUCCAACCAGUCUGCAUCAAAGGCUAGCCCAACAAGCUGCAGCGGCUCAGCUCUGCUAAGCUUGUACCGGUGAUUCUCAAACGUUCCUGCUGAAGUAUCGUCUGAAGUGCUGAUUAAGAACACAGAUUACUGGGGGCUGGCCUGCUGGCAUAGUGGUUAAGUUCGCGCACUCCCUGGGGUUUGCAGGCCCAGAUUCCAGGUACAGACUUAUGCACUACUCAUCAAGCCGUGCUGUGGUGGCAUUCCACAUACAAAAUAGAGGAAGAUGGGCACAGAUGUUAGCUCAGGGCCAAUCUUCCUCAUAAAAACCAAAAAACCCCACAGAUUGCUGGUCCUCCCCUCCAGAGAUUCUGAUUCAGUAGGUCUGGGAUGUUACUCAAGUGCUUCUGGUGAUUCUGCUACAAUUGUUGCAGGGAGCCUAGGCCCAGCCUCCAUGCUCAGCUACUUUUCUAUUUUUGUAAGUAAUUAAAUAGAAUACAUAUUAAUCCAAAGUUGCCAUAUUCACUUUUGUAUCUCCAAUGUAUAGGACACUGACACUUAGAAAGUAUUUAAUCAAUGCUUAUUAAGUAAAUAUCUACUCAGCUCCAGCACUUGCUAGAUCCUAGUGAAAUCACAAAAAUCACAACUAGUAACUAUUAUGUGAAUCAAACUGCAUUAAAUACUGUAAUUAUAAUAAUUUAGGUAAGAGCACAGAAAAAGGAGCAAAUAUGACUGAGUGUGGGAAAGACUUCACAAAGAAGAUUAGUUUAGUGACUUUUCUUUUUCAGCCAUGACCAAAGAUUACUAUCUGCAGGAUAACAAAAGGUUGAGGGAACAAUACAAAGAAUGCCUUUGAUUUGAUACAGUAAUGAAAGUUUUAAGUACCGAGGGUACUCUAACAUCAAAUCUUAGUAAUAAGGCUGUUUCCUAGAGCAGAGGUCAACAAAUUUUUCCACAAAAGUUCAGAGAGUAAAUAUUUUAGGGUCUAUGGGCCAGAUUGUCUCUGUUUCAACUAUUCAACUCUAACGCGUAGCACAAAAGCAGAUAUAAACAAUAGUCAAUAAAUGGGUGUGGCUAUGUUCCAAUAAAAUCUUAUAAAACAGGUGACAGGCUGGAUUCAACCAGUGGGCCGUAGUUUGCUGACCCCUGCUCUAGAGUGAAACUUGUGAAAAUUAACAAAAUUGCAUAACUGUUUAGGAAACCAGUCUUGGGAGUCAGAAAGACUUGGGUUCCUUCCCAUUUCUGUUCCAUAUUAGCUUUGUCACCUGAGUCAAGCAUUUGUUUUAUUUAUAAAAUGUGGAUGAAAGUAAUAGUUCCUACCCCUUAGAGUCAGUGUAAGAUUCAAAUAAUAUAAUUCAUGUGAGGCUUUAUCCAAAAAUCUAGUACGCAAUAAGGGCCCAAUAAAAUGUCAGCUAAAAAAUAAAACAUUUAAACAUGGUAGUUGAACAUGAGUAUUUAUUUCCAUUAUUUCUUAAAGUCCCACUAAAAUGACAAUAAAGAACCAAAACAGCAUGAAAUCUUAAGGCUCAAAAAGAAUGAGAGGAAGCAGACAAGAGAUGUCUGUAAAUUUUGGAAGAAGGAACGAGGAUGAGAGGUGUCUGAUUUAGCAGAGCAUGGAAAGAGGAAAUGUACUUGCAAUAAUCAAAGCAAGUCUAUCUCUGCUGCGGAAUCCUAUAAAACUUCAGGAAUUGAAGGCACAAGGUGCCUCUAUAUAGACUUGAGGAGUUGGGAGGGAGUCUUGAAAUGGGAGGAUUGGUUGAAAAUCUGCUUAAAAAGCAGUUUGCUCACUAGAUCCAUUCCGCAACCCGGAGACCUGGAGACGGGCCCCUUCUGCAAUGUUGGCAGACAAUAGGCAGGACUUGUUGAUUCGUGCUGGGAGAGAUUGUCCCAGGAUGUUCUGGACUUGAGAAUACCAGGCAGGACUGAGGGUGAACGGUCAAGUUCCACACUGAAAGCAAUGAGAUUAUAUUAGUUUCCUAUGGCUGCUGUAACAAAUUACCACAAACUUAGUGGUUUAAAAGGACACAAAUUUAUUAUCUUACAGUUCUGGAGAUCAGUAGUCCAAAAUGGGCCUCACUGGGUUAAAGUCAGGGUCUCAGCAGGGUUGAACUCCUUCUGGAGGUUCUAGACGAGAAUCUGUUUUCUUGUCUUUUCCGGCUUCUAGAGGCUGCCUGCAUUUCUUGGCUCAUGGCCCCUUUCCAUCUUCAAAGCCAGUAAUGGCCAGUUAAGUCUUUCUCAUGUUGCAUCAUUUUGACACUGAGUCUGCUGCCUUCCUCCUCCAUAUUUAAAUCCAACUAUACAAUCCAGGAUAAUCUCCCCAUUUAAAGUCAGCCGAUUAUCAACCUUAAUUCCAUCUCAAACUUUAUUCCCCUCUGCCACCUUAAUUCUCCUCUGCCAUGUAACAUAACGUAUUCGAAGACUUCUGGGAUUAGGAUGUGGACAUCUUUGAGAGACCAUUAUUCCACAGAGGUUAAGACAAAAUCUCUAUAUUGAAUGGAGAGAUGCCCAGGUCCAUUCCUCUGCUUCGCUUCUGAAUGCUGGUAACCAGGUUCAUACUCUUCACUCAGAAAGCAGGAAACUGGAGAGUUUCUCUGCAAGAAACUCUCAAAACUCUCAUCAUCCUAGUGCAGUGGUUAGUAACAGGGAUGAUUUUGGCCCUAGGGACCAUUUGACAAUGUCUGGAGAAAUUUUCGAUUGUAAACAACUGAGAGAGGUAGGGGAAGGGUGUGCUACUGGCCUCUAGUAGCUAGAGGCCAGGGAUGCUACUGAUCAUUCUACAAUGCAUAGGACAGCAUAUCCUACUCCCCUCCCUGCCCCCCAAAAUAAUUAUCCUAUCUUAAACGUCAAUAGUGCCAAAGAUGGGAAACCCUACUCUAAUGUUAAGCAUACCAGUCAACAUCAUCCUAAUAUAAAUAAACAAAUUCCUCCUAGGAAGGCAGAGUUGCAUAUCAGCAUUUUUAUGUCUUAUUCUAAGGUAUAGAGAGAUCUAACAUGAAAGAGACAAAAAAGAAACCAAAAGAUAAAAAGAACUUACAGAAAAUAGUCAAUAUAGGGAGCAGAAUAAUAAUUUAAAAAACCCCAUUAUAUUAAUAUCUUCAAAGAAAUAAGAAAAGAUACUAAUUGCAUAAAACAAGAACAGAAGGCUAUCUAAAAAUGGAACUUUUGGAGAAUGAAAAAGAUAUUAGAGGGGCUGGCCCCGUGGCCGAGUGGUUAAGUUCGC